ensembl:lncRNA
AAGAUUUGGCAUGGGUCCCCAGAUCCUCAAAAAUGUCAACAGCUGCACCAUCGAGAGCAUCCUGACCGGUUGCAUCAGACUGUAAGACACUACAGAGGGUAGUGCGUACGUACGGCCCAGUACAUCACUGGGGCCAAGCUUCCUGACAUCCAGGACCUCUAUACUAGAGGAGAGAAGACGAGAGGAGAGAAGAGGAGGGGAGAGAAGAGGAGAGGAGAGAAGAGGAGGGGAGAGAAGAGGAGGGGGAGAAGAGGAGGGGAGAGAAGAGGAGAGGAGAGAAGAGGAGUGGAGAGAAGAGGAGAGGAGAGAAGAGGAAGGGGAGAAGAGAAGAGGAGGGAAGAGGAGAGGAGAGAAGAGGAGAGGAGAGAAGAGGAGGGGAGAGAAGAGGAGGGGAAGAAGAGGAGGGGAGAGAAGAGGAGAUGAGAGAAGAGGAGUGGAGAGAAGAGGAGAGGAAAGAGGAGUGGAGAGAAGAGGAGAGGAGAGAAGAGGAGUGGAGAGAAGAGGAGGGGAGAGAAGAGGAGAGGAGAGAAGAGGAGAGGAGAGAAGAGGAGGGGAGAGAAGAGGAGAGGAAAGAGGAGAGGAGUGGAGAGAAGAGGAGAGGAGAGGAGAGAAGAGGAGGGGAGAGAAGAGGAGGGGGAGAAGAGGAGGGGGAGAAGAGGAGGUGAGAGAAGAGGAGAGGAGAGAAGAGGAGGGGAGAGAAGAGGAGGGGGAGAGAAGAGGAGGGGAGAGAAGAGGAGAGGAGGGAAGAGGAGAGAAGAGGAGGGGAGAGAAGAGGAGGGGGAGAAAAGGAGGGGAGAGAAGAGGAGAGGAGAGAAGAGGAGGGGAGAGAAGAGGAGAGGAGGGAAGGGGAGAGAAGAGGAGGGGAGAGAAGAGGAGAGAAGAGGAGGGGAGAGAAGAGGAGGGGGAGAAGAGGAGGGGGAGAAGAGGAGUGGAGAGAAGAGGGGGAGAGAAGAGGAGAGGAGGGAAGAGGAGAGGAGAGAAGAGGAGAGAGAGGAGAGGAGAGAAGAGGAGGGGGAGAAGAGGAGGGGAGAGAAGAGGAGAUGAGAGAAGAGGAGGGGGAGAAGAGGAGGGGAGAGAAGAGGAGGGGGAGAAGAGGAGUGGAGAGAAGAGGAGGGGAGAGAAGAGGAGAGGAAAGAGGAGAGGAGAGAAGAGGAGGGGGAGAAGAGGAGGGGAGAGAAGAGGAGUGGAGAGAAGAGGAGAGGAGAGAAGAGGAGGGGAGAGAAGAGGAGAGGAGAGAAGAGGAGAGGAGAGAAGAGGAGGGGAGAGAAGAGGAGAGGAGAGAAGAGGAGGGA